rnacentral:lncRNA from 1 species
UGGCUGGACAGAGGAGCAAGGUCCCUGUAUGUCAGUUGUUUGGGGCCAUAAGCUAGUUGGUAAAGUGAGGUAAUAAAUACUCCAUCCAACAGGAGGCUAAGAUACAGACCAAUGUUGGCCUGAGGAGGACCUCAGGACAGAAGUGUGGCUUCACAUACUUAAGACAUCACUGCAGAAUGAAGAAAGAUGGUGACUGGGAGAAAAUAAAACCUCGUCAUACUCAUACUCCACCUAGUCGAGAUUCCUCAAGUCAUUUUUUGCAGCCAUGAACUCCAGAAACUUUCUUCUUCCAUAUAAAAUCUAAAGAAACCUAGAAAAUAGAGCAAGAGUGGUUGUCUUCUUUGGAGCAAAAAUCUAUAUACUCUGAAACAUUUUUCAAUGCCCAGGCCCCCCAGAAAGAGGGACUGGAGGACAUGCACCCUGCGCUCACCUCCAGAGGACAGGAGCCCCACCCCACCCCCAGCAGCUGCACCCUCUCAACUCAUGUGCUCCACUGUCACCAGGAGUCAUCCUUUAC